rnacentral:lncRNA from 1 species
UGGUACUUGAUGGCUGUUUCAGAGAAGGAAACAACAUUCCUCUGAUGCUAACUGGUGCUUCUGAGAGCAAAAUGUCAGGGAGGAGAGAAGCAUGGCCUCUCGAGACAAACCCAGGCUGCUAAGAAUGUAAGCUCUGGUCUCACUUUGCGUUCCAGCCAAACACCUAAGUGCUCCUUUCUAUGACCAAAGAAUUCUUCACUGAUUAAAAUCUGGUUACAAAACAAGGGACCUAGAGAGAUGUUCACUUCACCACUUCUCUACAGAUGCCUCCUGCUGCUUCCAACUUUUCUCCUUUAAGGCAGGGUGAAUCCAAAUCAUGGUCUUAGCCCUGAAGGAGGCACCAAAGCAGUUUCGUUGCCCUGUGAAAAGCUUCUAGAGGAGCUCAUCUGAAUGCUUGAAGAAACCAGCCGCCCUUGCAAUUACCUAAAAGGAAUUGAGUCAUUUUAACAAGACAUUAUUUCUGCCAUCCACGGUCACAAUCAUCUCUUUGAAAAAUAAAUACUCUUGGUUUGUUGUUUUU